UUAAUUUGUGGCUAAAACGAGAUACAUGACUAUUAAUAGCAUAUGGUCACACAUUAAUUGCUUCAUGUGACCAUCAACCUUCCACCUCCAAUUGGAACCCUAAUCUCACCUGCUGCCAUACGUCCACCUUCACCUCGUAUCCUUGAUAAUUACCAGUUUCAACAGUGCAUCAACAUCGAAUUGAAGUUUGGUUGGACUGUGGAUAUUUGAAGGAAUGUUGAAUGUUGAUGCUGUUACGGCUGUUGUUCUUGGACUGUAUGUUCUCCGUAUAACCGGAGUCGUGACAUGGAAGGAAUGCUUGGCUGAAGCUGUUGCAUGGGAUACCCUUACAAGGUUUUUUGUACCUUAACGAAUAUUUGUCAGGGUAUAUCUUCAUAUAUCAAGAUGUUGCCCUUUAGAGUAUUUUUCAUAUAAAAAAUAAAGGACUCUUAAUUCAGAUAGAUUAAGUAAUUUUUUGAGGGACUCUUAAUUCUAUAUGUUUUACAUCCCUUUUAAUUUGUCUUAAUUUUAACUUUUUGCACCUUUGUUCAUUCUUUACUUUUACUACCUCUGUAAUCUAAUGACCCUCUCCUCCGCCACAGCAGCUCAUUCAGGAGUUCUAAUGGUAAACCUCUAAAAAAAUCUUCUUUUACAUUUUGAAGAUACUACAUUAAGUGAACUGCCACUUUUGUUACAUUAACCCAUUUACACAUACAAAUAUUGACUUUCCAUUAUUUGACUUUAAUUGCAUAAUCACCAUGUCUCUUUUUGACAUUGAGUAAAAGUAUGACUAUAAUAUUACAGCCAUUUACAGUUUUACUUUUAACUAGUGCAACCCAACAAGAUAUUUAUUUUGUUUCAUGAUGACAUUAUGUGCUCUAUAAAUUCUGCAACCAUUGUUUGACUUUUGACUUUCAUAAGUGCAGUCAUUGUUUGACUUUUAAUUGCAAUCCACUCCCAAGUUCCUUUGACUUUUGUAAGACUGCAUCUGCAUACACUAGUUACUGCUCUGUAACUUUGACUUCUAAAUAGAUGGUGACCACGUUAGAACAAUCUACUUGCAAGAAAUGCGAAAAUGCGAAAGACUCUGAGAAAGACUCUGUCAGUUGCUUUGAUGCUACAUGUAGGUGAGAGUGCAACCAUUGAAAACUCAUGAAACCGGCUCGGGCUCAAAGCUGGAGUUGUCUAGCUCGCCACUUAAGUUUCUGGUCUUCACAAAGAUAACAAGCCUGAACGACAUACUUACAGUGGCAUAGCCAGGGAUUCUUUUUAGAUUGGUUCUUGUGCUAUUAAUAAAACGACAGGUUACUUGUAGUGGCGGAGCCAUGAAUAUUUUUCGUUGGGGUCAAAAAAACAAUUAUCGGAGUUUGUUUAUAUGAAGUACUUUUUACCGGGUUAUGUCAA